rnacentral:rRNA from 2 species
UGCGCCGACAGCUGGCGGCGUGCCUAAUACAUGCAGUCGAGCGAACCAGAUGGGAGCUUGCUCCCUGAGGUUAGCGGCGGACGGGUGAGUAACACGUGGGCAACCUGCCUGUAAGACUGGGAUAACUCCGGGAAACCGGGGCUAAUACCGGAUAAUUCAUUUCCUCUCAUGAGGAAAUGCUGAAAGACGGUUUCGGCUGUCACUUACAGAUGGGCCCGCGGCGCAUUAGCUAGUUGGUGAGGUAACGGCUCACCAAGGCCACGAUGCGUAGCCGACCUGAGAGGGUGAUCGGCCACACUGGGACUGAGACACGGCCCAGACUCCUACGGGAGGCAGCAGUAGGGAAUCUUCCGCAAUGGACGAAAGUCUGACGGAGCAACGCCGCGUGAGCGAAGAAGGCCUUCGGGUCGUAAAGCUCUGUUGUUAGGGAAGAACAAGUAUCGGAGUAACUGCCGGUACCUUGACGGUACCUAACCAGAAAGCCACGGCUAACUACGUGCCAGCAGCCCGGUUUAAUA